GAGCCACUGUGUAACAGAGGGAUUAUGCUGAUAGCUGGAGAGACAGUGUGACUCGCCUCAAUUCGGGUAGCGGAGGACAAAUCUUAGUUGCCUCCAUGUCUGAGACCGUCAACCAGCGCAACUUAUCGCAUGGCUUGUUGAGCGCGUUACUGUGGAGACAUAGCGCAUGUGGGGGCUUCACGCCAUCCACCACGGAAUCCAUGCACAACUCACCAUGUGCCCACCCGAGAGUGAACCACAUUAUGGCGACCAUGAGGAGGUUACCCCAUGUGAUUCUACCCUCCCUAGCAACCGGGCCAAUUUGGUUGCUUAGGAGACCUGGCUGGAAUCACUCAGCAAGCCCUGGGAUUCGAACUCCUGAGCUCCAGAUGUGUUCUGGUGAAGAAAGAAAGUCAUACACACCUGGGAUAUCAUGAGGGUGAGUAAAUAAUUAGAGAAUUUUCAUUUUUGGGUGAAGUAUCCCUUUAAAUGUCUUUUCUGCGCAAGAAGCUGAAAAACAGCAAGACGCAGUGCAACGGUCAAAGACCUCCGUCUAGCAUAUGUUCACAUAGAACAACGAGAAAACAUCGCUGAAAGGCCCGUUCUUUAUUGAGAAUGGCAUCCUUCUCCGCCAUUGACUCUGGACCUCCACCCUCUAUUGGCAACACAGACUGCAGGUCGUCUGAAUAUCAUGCCAGCUUCUUUCCACUAUAACUCCCGUCUCUGCUAGCUGCAUAAAUUCUCAUUGGCUUUUACGAUUUGUAUACACAAUGAUGCCUGUGUGAGGAGUCGGGCAGUGAGGUUUCACUUAGGCAUGAAGACAUGAAAAAAAUAUUUUUAAAAAAUGAAUGAAAGUGGAAAAAUUAUUUUGGCUGCUGGGGCUCAGUUGGUCUUUCUGGAAUUCUCUUUUUCUCUCCCCCGUUUCUGAGUUUCUCUACCAAUCCAUAUCUUUACAGCCACUGUUGCUAAUUGAAUCCCUUUAUGUUAUAUCGCAUCUCUGUAGUUUGAUUGUUUUAAGAAUGAAAGAUAGUUUGCUUCCACUUUAUUGUUCCUGAAUCAGUUGUGGUUGCAGUGGAUGAUUUUCUUUCCAGAAGCACUAUAAGGAAGUCAGCUUCUGGAGGAUCAAGCUCUAUGGCAGCAUAUCUGGAACAGAGGUGCAGAGAGACCAUAGAUGUUCUUUUAUCAUUUUGUCUGGAAUUCACUUUGAGGUCUGGGUCUUGAAAGUGCUAACUAUCUGAUUGGAGGGAGACACCAGACGGCGAGGGAGGCACAGAUGCUCUGUGUCUAUAGAAUAGCCCUCUCAAUUACAGCAUGGCCAAAUUGAAACGGAUCCCGAUUUAACUCUCUUUCCAAUAAACCUCACAGCAGCUUUGCCAGCCUCUCUCUUUCUCCAGCAAUGGACCUCUCUGAUGCAGCAUGUCCAGAUAGGCUGCCAGACACAGCAGGGAGAGCAUCGAUUCUCAAUAACAUCGCUAAUGACUGCACACUGCCUGAUGCAUGCUGCCAUUACUGGAGGUGAGGGCCAGGACUGAGGGCAGGCCCAAGUGUGGCACACCAGAUGGAGCCGGUUAGGAAUGGUUAUGAGGAUGAAUUGUUUGUCAGUUUGAGAAGAAAGAUUGAGAGAAUAAGAAAAUGAAAUAGAUUGACUUCCCUGCUGAAAAGACCAGGUCAUACCACAGUGAAUUUCCAUGCUGGUCUAUGCUGUUUUAUGCUGAUAAGUGCUGGUUUGGUGCAGAAAAUGCUUCUCAACCAGCAUGGUCUUUCUGUUAAAGCUGGGUGAAUAAGGAAGUCUUGCUAGUUAAGGUAGUUAAAGGGAUACUGCACCCAAAAAAAUACAAAAUAAAAAUAAUGAAUUAACUCACACUCAUAUUGUUCCAAAGCCAUAUGACUUUCUUUCUUCUGUGAAAAAUAAAAGUAUAUGUUAGGCAGAU